ensembl:lncRNA
ACACACACACACACACACACACACACACACACACACACACACACACACACACACACACACACACACACACACACACACACACACACACACACUUCCCAUAGCGAGCCUUUCCAUCAGACCAAGGCUUGACUGGGAUCUGUUUUGUACUUUCCACUGCACCUUUUUUGGGAUCAGUGCUUCUGGAUAUUGACGGACUGAAGAACGGUGUGUUAGUUAAAGUAAAACUAGAGUGUACCACUUUUAUUAAUGGGAGAUUUGUCGGGGAGAUUCAGCCAAUCACAGGAGCCCCUGGCCGCAGCUCUGCGACUGCUCAACCAAUCUCCUCUCUGCGUCUGACGAUGUCAUGGCUCACCAUUUAUGGACAUUUUCUACAGAGAAGAUACAAACCUAAUGUAACAGAAGACACAAACCUAAUGUAACAAGACAUAACCCUAAUGUAACAGAAGAAACAGACCUAAUGUAACAGAAGACACAAACCUAAUACACAGGCCUAAUACAUAACCCUAGUGUAACAGAAGACAUAACCCUAAUCUAACAGAAGACAUAACCCUAAUCUAACAGAAGACAUAACCCUAAUGUAACAGAAGACACAGACCUAAUGUAACAGAGAAGACACAAACCUAAUGUAGGGCCCAUACCCCUGUUGAUAUAUAAGAUAUACUUUGUCCCAAGUUCUGCUAUACCCAGUCCAACGCGAUACAGGCUUCAACCCAUCCACUUUAUACUUCCUCCAAUAUGCAAGUAUUUAAUCUAAUAGGAAUAAUGCAGUAGAAUGGAGUUUAGGGUAAAUUAAAUCUUCCUCUUCUGAUUUUUAUUUUAUUUGAAUUAUUUAUACUUUAAAGUCUUUAACUAUUAUAUUUUUCAUCUCUCUUAAAUAUCUUCUCUGCCUUCUCCUUUGUUUUCGUUUAUACCAUUAAAGGCCACUGAUUGAUUUCGUUUUUUAUAAAAUGACGAGUCCAGUGCAGUAAAUAAACAACCGUUUGCUUACAACUCUGCCUACACAAUUAUUCCGAUUUCAUCUGAAUAAAUUCUGAUGAAAUCAGGAUAAAUCAGAAGGUGAGGUAUAAUUUAUGACUGAGAUGAUCUGUUGUAGAGUUGCGUUCUGUUCACCGAGACGUCUUCUGAGGAUUAUUCCCUCCGUCCUGGUUCUGAUUUCUCAUAACGUAGGUUUUGCUUUAAGUUUCUUCGGAACAUUGUGUGUUCUGGACAUGAUAUCGAUUUAGCAAUAAUAGAAAACGGAUAUCUUGGAAACCAAUAAAAUAAACAUUUUGAAGGAAAAUACGAUGAUGCAAACUCCUUAAUUGAUCAUCCAGCCACCACUGGACCCUUGAUUGUUUUUUAAUCAAUUAUAUUAUAUUUUUAUGCACGGAUUUUUGUUUCACACAUUUUAAAUUGUAUCUUGAUUUAACACCGACGACAACAACCAAACAUGUUUAAAGUUGAUGGGAGUUCCUCAGUUCGACACAAGGGGGCAGAAAAAGCCUGUCUUACACAUUACUGAAGGGCAUCUAGUUUAUGAUAGAAAUAAGUCUAUCAUAAAUCAGUC